GGUUGAUCCUGCCAGUAGUC
rnacentral:rRNA from 1 species